CCCUCCCUCUCACGUUUUCAAUGUCCUGUUUUGCUCCCCCAAACCCUUAAUUCCUUAACACUUUCUACAGUUCUACCUCUCUUUAUUAGAUUUCUUCCUCUUCGUCGUUCUCCUUCAUCCUUUUCAUCAUCAUUCUUUGGAGAUUUGCGUUUCUGAAUUGUUGAUUGGGUCUUUGAAUUGGAGAUAAAAGAAAUUGGUGAAUGGGUCUUUGAAUUGGAGAUGAGAGAAAUUGGUGAAUCGUGUUUCUGAAUUGGCGAGAAGAACCAGGUUGCACAGCUAGUGCAGGGAUUGCUGCAAAUAUGCUUAUAGCUCGUCUUGCCAUCAGAACUGCUAAACCAGAUGGUCAAUGCUAAAUUUCUCCAGAGAAGGAACUGUCCAGAAUUGAUGGACAAGCCUGUAGCAGUGUGCCAUUCAGACAGUCCUAGAGGAACUUUUGAAAUUUCUUCUGCUAACUAUCCUGCUCGAGAUUAUGGUUGUUUUGAAAUCCUUGUGCCAGUAAGCAUUGUGGUUUAAAUACACACUUUUUUGUUAUUCAUAUUCAAGUGGUUUUGUGUUUCUCGGAAUAGGGGUUAAAGCUGGAAUGUUCGUCAGAGAUGCCAAGGCUCGUUGUCCUCAUCUGGAAAUCGUACCUUACAAUUUUGAAGCUUAUGAAGAGGCAGUAAGUUGCGAUGAAGCAUUUCUGGAUGUCACUGACUCAUAAGUGGCAGAGCCCGAGCUUUUAGUUUAAGAAAUAAGAAAAGAGAUCUUUGAAACUACAGGUUGCACAUCUAGUGCAGAGAUUGCUGCAAAUAUGCUUAUGGCUCGUCUUGCCACCAGAACUGCUAAACCAAAUGGUCAAUGCUACAUUUCUCCGGAGAAGGUCGAUGAGUAUCUGUUACCACUCCCUAUAAAGACAGUCCCAGGUAUUGGACAUGUGUUGGAGAAAAAGUUGAAAAAGAAAGGAGUUCAGAAUUGCGGCCAGCUGCGAAUGUUUCCCAAGGUCUAAUAUUUAGUGAGAACCAUCAGUGCUAACUUUGUGAGGCUUUACAGAGGGACUUCAGAACAAAGACAGGUGAAAUGUUGUGGAAUUACUCCAGAGGUGUUGACAACCGGCUAGUUGGAGUCAUUCAGGUUUGGCAUAAUAUAUGACACUUGUUUGUUGCGCCUCUUUGGUUUACUUGAAAUUUUCUAUGGUGGUUGCUUAUGAGGAAUCGAGAGGUUACUUGGGAUGGAGUUACGUUUUGCAGCAAGACUAGCUAGUAGCUACGGAAAAACUUUAGAGGUUCACAUAUUCCUUAUUUGUUCUUUAGUAUCUUUAGUGGUUCAAAAUUGUAUGUAUGGACACACCAGUUCAGUGAAACUGCAUUCCAAAGUUUAACUUCCCACGCUUACUCAACCUGGUUGUCCCCCAAACAUACCAAAGUAGCUUCUCUCUUUAUAAUGUUUUCUGAUACAAAUUGUUGGUUUUUUUUUUUUUUUUUUUGGAUAAUGCGUCAUGUGAAGCAGUAUAAAUGACUUUACUGGUACAUUGUUGUUAUCAAUUUGUCAAAUUUUCCUAGUCAACAAAAAAACCUAAUACUACGUUCAUUUUGAAGUUGUUUGUUCUGGUUGUGAGUCUGCAACAAUUUUUCUGGUUCUGUUGGAGUUUUUUUUUCUAGUUGUGAGUCUGUAGUGUGUUCUAGUUAAAAGAUUCUGACCUGCUAGUAGUUGUUUAGUUCCGCAAGGGUGGCUAGUAGUUGUUUAGUUUCGCAAGGGUGGCUAUUCAGUUCCAGAUAGCAGAUUCUGAUCUGCUAGUAGCUUUUCAGAUUCUAAUGUGCAGGUUGUUGUUCAGUUCUGUAGGGCUCUGAUCUGCCAGAAUGGUUUAUUCUCGUUGUCAGUCUGGUAAAAUCCUGCGAUAGAAGUCGUGCAACUUUGAUGUGUUUAAGCUAUUGCUUUGCAGGAUUGCAGCAAGUUUUUUGCUCCCUGGAAUUAGUUUGUUUUGUUCAGCCAUGUGGUUUUACUGCUUUGCAAGAUUGCAACAAGUUUUUUGCUCCCUGGAAUUCAUUUGUUUUGUAGUUUUGCUGCUCGUUUGUGUUUCUUCCCGUGCAGCUGUGUUGUACGGUUUUCAAAUGUUGUUUUACAUAAUUGAUCUAAUAAUUUCAUUUUAAUUUCACCCAUUAAUUUCCUAUUAUAUUGACUAUUAUUUUGUUUGUUUACAGGAUGGUAGAUAGAAGGAGAAUGGUAGAUAAAAGGAUGGCAGGAAAGGCAUAGAUCAAAGUCCUAAUAAAUUAAAUACUAGAUGUUUGUAAUUGUUAUGGAUAUUUUUGUAAUAGUUGGAUGUUUUAGUGUAAUAUUUUUAUUUUAACGAGCUACUAAAUAAACGCUUAUGAAACUAUUGCUAUAAGCUCACAUUAAAGUGAUAGUGUAUCAAGAAACGUUGCUAUAGACUCAUGUAAAAGUGUCGUCAUAACAUGUAUCAAGAAACGUCGCUAUAGACUCAUGUAAAAGUGUUGCAAUAACGGUAUCAAGAUGUUGCUAUAGACUAUAAAA